GAUGAACGCUAGCGGCAGGCCUAAUACAUGCAAGUCGAGCGGCAAGUCGAGGAGUAAUCUAAGACCUAGAGCGGCGCACGGGUGCGUAACGCGUAUGCAACCUACCUCAUACAGGGGGAUAGCCCGGAGAAAUCUGGAUUAAUACCCCAUGGCACAUUACAAAGGCAUCUGAGUAAUGUUAAAGAUUCAUCGGUAUGAGAUGGGCAUGCGUCUGAUUAGCUAGUUGGCGGUGUAACGGACCACCAAGGCGACGAUCAGUAGGGGUUCUGAGAGGAAGGUCCCCCACACUGGCACUGAGAUACGGGCCAGACUCCUACGGGAGGCAGCAGUAGGGAAUAUUGGGCAAUGGACGAGAGUCUGACCCAGCCAUGCCGCGUGCAGGAAGACGGCGUUCUGCGUUGUAAACUGCUUUUAUCUGGGAAGAAAAGGCCCAUGCGUGGGACAUUGCCGGUACCAGAUGAAUAAGCACCGGCUAACUCCGUG
rnacentral:rRNA from 1 species